UAUCUUUUUUGUCAAAUUUUAGCCUUUUGCAAAUUUACACAAAUAUAAAUAAACAGUGUCCCUCACUUUAAAGUUUACCGAAGCGUCGCUUUUCUUUUCCUGGCUUAACUAUCCGUUGUCCUUCCCCUGUCAAACGUUACUCUCCCUUCCUCCAAUUAACGCCUCUCUUUAUUUACCCUACUCUCAUCGUUCCUCUUGAAUAUGCGUCAUCAAAAUCAGGACGAGAUGAAGCGAAAGACUGUCAAAAAAUUCCUCAAACAACUUACUCAAUUGGGUUCUUCUAUGUGAUCUCUAUGGGAUAUUUGCACAGGUCAGUGUACAAUCUAUAUAUCUGUAUAAUUGGGGGAUAUUGGCAUGGUGAUGUGACAUGACUCACUUACCAUGAGUGUCCUUUAUCUUUUUCCACGAUAAAAAAAAACAAAACCCUUCGCAUAAUAACAUAACACCAAUAUAAAUUAACUAUUUUUUUUAAGAAUUUAAGAACGGGCAGAAAUAUAGUUACGUAUUUGGUAACACAAUCAAUUGUCAUGUACUACUUGAAGUCGGGUUUUUUUAAUCAACUUGUAUGGGAGUCGUAGUGUAAGUAAAUGAAAGAAACAGCAGGAAUUCGUCAUGGAAAAGUUGAUGUGUUAAAAGAUAAAAGUAGUGGUUGAGAAUAGAUAAACAACAUACCUGCCAGGGUUGAAGGGGUUUUGUGAGCCUUGAAGAAGAAUUUCAAAGUGAGGAGGGAUUCUGAAGGUUGUUGGGGAAAUAAGGCAAAGUUUAUUUGCAGAUUUUGAUAUGAAGUGUAACAACAGAUUUCAAAAUCGAUUACCGUAUAAAUCGAAAAGGACGCAGGCGGAAGUAGGGCAUAGUAACAGUUCUUAGGUACUUCUUUACCAUGCUUUGAAUUUUUCUAAUAUUUUUGUCUCGAUCAUAAAAUUUCUAACUUGAUGUGAGAAUUGGCUAAGUUUAGACGCAAGAUUCAAGGCGUGCAAACUAUACCUGUUAUUACAAUCAGAAGAUUCAUUAGCAGGAUAAAUAAACCACAACAGGCUUGCCUUUGAACUUGGAGAGGCUCACAUCUUUUCUGUCUUUAUCUUUUAAUGUGAAUGGUAGAGACUCUGAACCUUUAUUCACCUUAGGAAAUAUGGAACUUUUAGUUAAGAAGAAGAAGAAGAAGGGGUUGUCGAACAAGGCGAGUAAAGGAGCACCACAAGCGAGAAAUUCAUGUGUAUGAUUUGAUUAUAUGCAUGUUUGUAGUGAUUUUAACAGUGUGUCGUUCUUCUUUUCUGUAUGUUAUUCAAUUUUUUUUUUUUUUGCUUUCUUGGCACUGAUAGUGGGAAUAUGAAACUAGACUUUGGACUUUUCUGCCUAUGUUUUUUUCACUUAUCUGGUUCUUGACAUUUUGUGUGCUUUUGGUGGGUAUGAAAGAAAGAUUGAAAUAGUAUCGUCCCAUCUGUUCGACACAAAUCUCCUACUGUAUAUGUUUUGGCUAUGUUCUCAUUAUCUCAUGUUAUUUACCGCUUCUCCAUCAUUUAAUCUGUGGUGCUUAUGUGUUUGUCAAUUUUUGUUUGCUGAUUUACCAUGGUGUUCAAUAGUUUUACUAUCAUCAUAAAAAAUGGAUUUUGAUGAUUUCAAGACAAUGAUUAGCUCUCCACAGAGGAUUGUUUUAGGGGUUUGGGCAUGGAUGCUAGAGAUCAAGAUUGUUGCUUUUUCUAUAUUGUUCCUUUUCUAUCUUUUAAAUUUAUUGUUUUCUUGCUACGAGUUUGUUCGAUUUCUUGAUUUUCUCUGCUAAUUAUUUACGUUCUCCCCUCAUUGCCAUCUUUAUUUUUCAUGCUACCCUUACUUGCUCUUUGAAUUUUUAGUCAAGUCCGUCUUUGAUUCACUCCGUCACUGUUAGAAGUGCAUUAAUGCAGAGUUGAAUCACAAUUCUUAACACUGGUGUGUUUACCAUAGAAGAUGGUCAACUUGGGUCACUGUUAUUAUUCCUUAAUUAUGCAGUAAUUUUAUGGCAACCGCCAUCUUGGGCUUAAUAGUGAGGAUCAAGCUUCUUUUCAGAUGCUCGAUAUCUACCCGGAUAAGUGGAAGGAAGUAAUUGAAGCAAAAAAGAGGACCAGGAGAAGAGAACUAGGUGUUGUGGGUAUUGUUGUAGUUUCUGCCUAAGCUGUCAUCAUUUAUCUUUAUUCAUGAUAUUUAAGUUAGUCUGGUUCAGUCAUUGGUAAUUGUUAAGGCAAGCAUACAUGUUAUCCAACUUAUUGAUAAAUUCCACCAGUGAAAUUUUUUGAUAUAGCCAGUGAUGUGUGAGCAACCUAUUCAUAUCACAUAGGAUGCCUCGGGUUAUUUCUUCAGCCCAUGUUUUUCAUGGAAAACCUCUAUUUGUUAAAGCUUUUGAUGUUACCAAAAUGUUAGAAUUUGUUAUGUGUAACAGUUUAAUAUUGAUGUCAAUUCUCUUAUAUAA